rnacentral:rRNA from 1 species
CAGCAGCCGCGGUAAUACGAAGGGUGCAAGCGUUACUCGGAAUUACUGGGCGUAAAGCGUGCGUAGGUGGUUGUUUAAGUCUGCUGUGAAAGCCCUGGGCUCAACCUGGGAAUUGCAGUGGAUACUGGGCGACUAGAGUAAGGUAGAGGAUAGUGGAAUUUCCGGUGUAGCAGUGAAAUGCGUAGAGAUCGGAAGGAACAUCUGUGGCGAAGGCGACUAUCUGGGCCAUUACUGACACUGAGGCACGAAAGCGUGGGGAGCAAACAGGAUUAGAUACCCCUGUAGUCCCUGUCUCUUAUAC